CAUUCGCAACAUACAGCUGCUGGGGAGCAAGAGGAGGUGCUGAUGGGUGCCACUGCCAUCUUUACAGUCUUUAGUGCAGUGGUUAGUGCACUCACCUAAGAUGUGAGAGCCCCUAGUUUGUAUCUCCUGCUGAAGCUGUUCCUCUUGUUAUAAAAACAGCUGAAUAGUCAUUGGGCCAGAGAGAGAGAGACUCUAGUGUAGAGGUUUGGACCUUCAUGAGUACUUGCCUCAGUUCACCCUGCUCUACCCGGAACCUGAUACCUGUUCAUCAGCAAUGCAUGUUGUGUUAAUAUGUUUCGAUGCCACAAGUAAUUGAGUUAUCAGUUUGCCACUUCUUACAGAGACACAGCUACAGCUGAGUGCUGGUUGGUGCCCUCUAUCCUUACUCUCAGCUGCCCUCUUCUUCCUCCCUCCACUUCAGACUACAGUGGCAGUAGCUCCAUGGACAAGAAGAUGAUCAGAGCUGGCUGACAAAUACUGCA